UACAGGGGGUGCAAACGUUGCUCGGAAUUAUUGGGCGUAAAGCGCGCGUAGGCGGCUACUUAAGUCGGAUGUGAAAGCCCCUGGCUCAACUGGGGAAGUGCACCCGAAACUGAGUAGCUAGAGUACGAAAGAGGGUCGCGGAAUUCCCGGUGUAGAGGUGAAAUUCGUAGAUAUCGGGAGGAACACCGGUGGCGAAGGCGGCGACCUGGGUCGAUACUGACGCUGAGACGCGAAAGCGUGGGGAGCAAACAGG
rnacentral:rRNA from 1 species